GGCUUAGAAACAUCAGAAAUUUAUUAUUCACAGUUCUGGAGGCGGGAAGUCCAAGAUCAAGGUGCCAGCAUAUUCCAUGUCUGGUAACAGCCCAUUUCCUGUAUUGCAGUCAGUCUUCUUCUCACUCUGUCCUCAAAAGCCCCUUUGAAAGAAGGGCACUAGCCUAUUCAUGGGGGUUCCACUGUGACGACCCCAUGACAUACCAAAGUCCCCACCUCCUAAUAUCGUCGCACUGGUGAUUAGGAUUUCAACACAGGAGUUUUGGGGGGAUGCAACCAUUCAGUCUACAGCAGACAGCAAGGGAGAUCCAGGGUAUGUGGAUCCUAAGAGGGAAGUUUCCCCAGCACCCAGUUCAGAUACUGAAGUCCAGUGAGCAAGUAAGAACCCUCACAAGGGCAGAUCCAGGAAAAACAGAGCAUGGAGUUUUCCCCAGAGGAUAGCCCCAGAGUCAAUGCCAGCCUGUGGAGUCAGGUGUCCUGUGGGGCUGCAUGGGGUGUGUCUCCCACUCUGUUUUGGAAUGGUGGUGUGGUGUUUGUUUCAGGGGUAAUGUGCUUGCUUGCUGGGUGGAAGAGAACAACGGCUGUCCCUCUAGGUGAUUGGUGGUAGCCUAAGAGGAGUCUUGGCCUGGGGGUCCUUUGCAUGGGCAGUGACUGGUGGGACUGUGGCUGCCCCUCUGAGGCCCAAGGGUGCUCUCUGCAUGGACAGGGGACUGUUUAGGAGGCAUGGAAGUGUCAGGCCAAGUCUUAAUGCUCCAGAGACACUUCCUUUUCCAGGAAACCUGAGCUCCCUAACAUUUUUACAUUAGGUGGAGCUGUGUCACAGGCCACAGCAAAAUCUCUCACCCUUGAUUAUUCCUUUUUCCUUUAGGCAUUGAAAUUGGAGGCCGCAUUUUUAAGGUGGUACAAAGAGGGAAAGAGUCUGGUCCCUAAAUCACUUGUUGGGUGUCCCGUGACAUGCCCUGGAUGUAAGAGUGAGAAAUAAGUGUUGCGUGGAGCUACUGAAAUUUGGUCCCUUUGUGUGUGUGGAGUGAGCCUGAGUAUACCGGUCAGUGCACUUGGCUGGGAGCUGCCAACACUGUCACAGUCUCGGCCACAGGGCAGGGACGCAGCCCGGGGACCCGCAAGUCCGAGCCUGGAGGGACAGGGGCAGUCUGCGGGCCUGUGCAGCCUGCAGGUCCAGCACGUCCUGUGUCUGAUUUCCUCGGCUGCCUCCUCACCAGCUGCCGGUCACCGUCAUCGUCUGUCAGGCACAGUCUUUCUCGCGGAGGCUAGGACGCCCGGGCCGCUGUGCGGGUGCGCGGGAUGUCAGGUGGCGGCGUUCCUCAGCGCGGAGCUGCGGGCGGAUCCCCCCUCCCAGCCCUUGGGGCCGCGCGCCCAGGCCCGGCUGUCUGCGCCUCCGUUCCCGCCUCAAAGGGGGCUGCGCGGAGCCCCUAUGCGCGCCUGGAGCCUGCGCCCGGCAACUGCGGCCUGGGAAAGCUGGGCGCUCCAGUUUCUGGUCCAGGUUUUUCCUGCUUCAAGGCUAACACUGUUCUCUAGUCCUGGAAUACCUCCUCCCCAUAAGGAACUCUGCAAGUGAGUUCGGGUCCCAGCUUGACUCCACUCUGGUGCUUUUGCACCUCUCAGUGAAGUAUUCCCGAACCUCAUCCUAACUGAAGAUCUGUUAUCUUCCUUUGCAGCCAGCACCACGCAUGUCAUCGUUUUGCCAGCCUGUCUUCCCUGCUGGGUGGAGAACCUGGGAACCCAGGGCUGUGGCUCCGGUCCGCUGCCCCGCUGCCGUGUCUGCCGUGCUGUCCUGUCGGCCCUGGAUCUUCGUUUCCUGAAUUAAUUACGUAAGGUUAAGGGCAAGGUAACCCACAUUGCUCCUUUCUGGAAACAAGCCUUGGCUUCCGAUUGCCCGAGGGCUCAAGGAGUGUGUGCAUCCCAGCUCCGGCAAGACGCUGAGAUAGACCUGCCAGGGUCCGGGGCCGACGCAGGAGAGCAGUGAAGGCUCGCGCCGCCGCAGGAGCUGUUCCUGGCUCCUCGCCGCCCCCGCCUCCCAGCAGGGAGGUUAUGGCUGCAGCAACUCGGCUGCAGGGCCAAGCUGCACACAUUGCUGCCCACUCCUUCCACUCUUUCCCCUCCCUCUUCCCUCCUGCUGCUUGGGACAAAAAACUGAAGUGAUCUUUAAGGGAUCUGGAGGCAGUCUUGGACUGUUGGAGUCAGACCUUCCCAAAUCGAGGAACCAAAGCGUGUUCUAGAAGGAUGGACACAGGCCAGGUGGGCACAUUCCUUUAGAGCCUUUAGAGCAACGCUGCCGGAGCCGUGAAACACAGCUGAAAUUGGCAGGAGCAGGACACCACCCCUGCCUUCCUGGGCCCCCCGCCCCUCCUCCAUCCUCUCCCCUCCCCCAGGAUUCCUCCCCAGGCUAGAACGCCAGGCUCUCCCUGGUGGGAACUCCUCCCUCCCCAGCCCAUUCCAGCCACCUUCUCUUACCUUUCCCUCCUUGUCCUUUGAUUUUAUCCAUAACUAACCUCUCCCUGAAGUUAGGCAUUGGCUAUUUACCUGUUCAUCAUUAGUCUUCUCUUCUGGAAAGCGGUGGUGGAAGGCAGGAUGCUUGUCUGCCUGGCCUCUGCGGAGGUCAGGGACCACUCAGGGCAGAAGAGCCCCCCUCAGGGGCCCCCUCUCAGUGCCUCAUUUGGAGUUCUGUUGAUUUUUGCACCAUGCGAAUCCCUAUAUAAAAUAAUCACCCACAUAUUUUAAAGUUAGUUGAAGAAAAAUAGUGAAAUUAAAGCAUUCAUCUAAAUGAUUUGAUGUGUCACCGAGUUUUCUCCAAAAUUGCCUCAUCUUUCCUUUGAUGAUGACAGUCUGGCUUGAAAGUGCUCAUAGAUAAUAUUUUAAUUACAGCUAGCUGAAAACAAGCUUACUGUCCGACUUAAAUGACUGAAGAGGAAAACAUGGAAAAGAUGAUUUAGAAAUGAAGGAGGGAUAGAUAUUAGAAGA
rnacentral:lncRNA from 1 species